rnacentral:rRNA from 1 species
CUGUACAGUUCAGAGUUUGAUCCUGGCUCAGGACGAACGCUGGCGGCGUGCUUAACACAUGCAAGUCGAGCGGACGGAGAACUUCGGUUCAAAGUCAGCGGCGGACGGGUGAGUAACGCGUGAACAAUCUGUCCCAGACAGGGGGAUAACAGUCUGAAAAGGCUGCUAAUACCGCAUAAGACCACAGCUUCGCAUGGAGCAGGGGUAAAAGAUUUAUCGGUUUGGGGUGAGUUCGCGUCUGAUUAGCUAGUUGGUGAGGUAACGGCCCACCAAGGCGACGAUCAGUAGCCGAUCUGAGAGGAUGACCGGCCACAUUGGAACUGAGACACGGUCCAA